rnacentral:other from 1 species
AUUUUCCUGCUGUGUUCGACCCUUACCGAUUAAUUACAGGCCCGGACCGUUGAUACGUUAUUGGGGGCUUAGCUAGUCGUCGGCUGCCAGGCCUUCACUGGAAGGCAAAAGUCGACGAGCGGCUCCCACCCUGUUGAGAAACGGGAACGUGAGCCUCACCAUCGGAGACGGCACAAGUGGGAAAUUA